AAAUAGCUGUCUAGUAUAGCAAUUAUACCGCGAAACUGCGAAUGGCUCAUUAUAUAAGUUAUCGUUUAUUUGAUAGUACCUUACUACUUGGAUAACCGUGGUAAUUCUAGAGCUAAUACAUGCUAAAAAUCCCGACUUCGGAAGGGAUGUAUUUAUUAGAUUAAAAACCAAUGCCCUUCGGGGCUCACUGGUGAUUCAUGAUAACUCCUCGAAUCGCAUGGCCUUGUGCCGGCGAUGGUUCAUUCAAAUUUCUUCCCUAUCAACUUUCGAUGUUUGGGUAUUGGCCAAACAUGGUUGCAACGGGUAACGGAGGGUUAGGGCUCGACCCCGGAGAAGGAGCCUGAGAAACGGCUACUACAUCCAAGGAAGGCAGCAGGCGCGCAAAUUACCCAAUCCCGACACGGGGAGGUAGUGACAAUAAAUACUGAUACAGGGCUCUUUUGGGUCUUGUAAUUGGAAUGAGUACAAUUUAAAUCCCUUUAACGAGGAACAAUUGGAGGGCAAGUCUGGUGCCAGCAGCCGCGGUAAUUCCAGCUCCAAUAGCGUAUAUUAAAGUUGUUGUGGUUAAAAAGCUCGUAGUUGAACCUUGGGCCUGGCUGGCCGGUCCGCCUCACCGCGUGUACUGGUCCGGCCGGGCCUUUCCCUCUGUGGAACCCCAUGCCCUUCACUGGGUGUGGCGGGGAAACAGGACUUUUACUGUGAAAAAAUUAGAGUGCUCCAGGCAGGCCUAUGCUCGAAUACAUUAGCAUGGAAUAAUAGAAUAGGACGUGUGGUUCUAUUUUGUUGGUUUCUAGGACCGCCGUAAUGAUUAAUAGGGACAGUCGGGGGCAUCAGUAUUCAAUUGUCAGAGGUGAAAUUCUUGGAUUUAUUGAAGACUAACUACUGCGAAAGCAUUUGCCAAGGAUGUUUUCAUUAAUCAGGAACGAAAGUUAGGGGAUCGAAGACGAUCAGAUACCGUCGUAGUCUUAACCAUAAACUAUGCCGACUAGGGAUCGGACGGUGUUAUUUUUUUGACCCGUUCGGCACCUUACGAGAAAUCAAAGUGCUUGGGCUCCAGGGGGAGUAUGGGUCCGCAAGGGCUGAAACUUAAAGGAAAAUUGACGGAARGGCACCACCAGGGGUGGAGCCUGCGGCUUAAUUUGACUCAACACGGGGAAACUCACCAGGUCCAGACACAAUGAGGAUUGACAGAUUGAGAGCUCUUUCUUGAUUUUGUGGGUGGUGGUGCAUGGCCGUUCUUAGUUGGUGGAGUGAUUUGUCUGCUUAAUUGCGAUAACGAACGAGACCUUAACCUGCUAAAUAGCCCGUAUUGCUUUGGCAGUACGCUGGCUUCUUAGAGGGACUAUCGCUCAGCCCGAUAAU
rnacentral:rRNA from 1 species